rnacentral:lncRNA from 1 species
AUGAGAACAAGUUAUGAAGCAGAAUGCAGUUGUGAUGUACCUGUUGAAGUGCAUAGAUACGUAGGGAUUAUUCAUUGUCUUGCUUGCUAUUGCGAUCAGAUUUCAAGGUUGAUACCUGGAGGUGUCAUCGAUGCUGCUGUUUCUUGGCAAUUGCCAAUGAGGCUGGCCCCAAGUCUGCAUCGCACAAGCAGUGAAGGAAGUUGUGUUGAAAUCGAAGUCGCUUGUAACUAA